rnacentral:tRNA from 1 species
CGUGGCUCAGCCUGGUUAGAGCGCCACUGAACUUUUGAUGUGGAGGUCCUGGGUUCAAAUCCCAGCGGGACCA